UCUUGAUUGGUCUAGUGGUCAGGAUACCUGCUUGUCAUCAUCAGACAAGCCGCAGGUGGCCGGGGUUCGAUUCCCCGAUCGAGAG